UACAGAGGUCUCAAGCGUUGUUCGGAUUCAUUGGGCGUAAAGGGUGCGUAGGUGGCGUCGUAAGUCAGGUGUGAAAUCUCGGAGCUUAACUCCGAAACUGCAUUUGAUACUGCGGUGCUUGAGGACUGGAGAGGAGACUUGGAAUUUACGGUGUAGCAGUGAAAUGCGUAGAGAUCGUAAGGAAGACCAGUGGCGAAGGCGGGUCUCUGGACAGUUCCUGACACUGAGGCACGAAGGCCAGGGGAGCAAAACGGG
rnacentral:rRNA from 1 species